rfam:Gossypium raimondii Chr13_contig_482, whole genome shotgun sequence.
AUCUCAUGAUGAGGAAACUUAAGAAGUAACUCAUUGAAUCGCUCCCAGGCCUCAUACAAAGACUCGUCAUCCAAUUGUUGAAAAGUUGUGAUCUCGUUCUUGAACUU